CAGCAGCCGCGGGAAUACGUAGGGUGCGAGCGUUAAUCGGAAUUACUGGGCGUAAAGCGUGCGCAGGCGGCUAUAUAAGACAGAUGUGAAAUCCCCGGGCUCAACCUGGGACCUGCAUUUGUGACUGUAUAGCUAGAGUACGGUAGAGGGGGAUGGAAUUCCGCGUGUAGCAGUGAAAUGCGUAGAUAUGCGGAGGAGCACCGAUGGCGAAGGCAAUCUCCUGGACCUUUACUGACGCUCAUGCACGAAAGCGUGGGGAGCAAACAGGAUUAGAUACCCCAGUAGUCCCUGUCUCUUAUAC
rnacentral:rRNA from 1 species